UACGGAGGGUGCAAGCGUUAUCCGGAUUCACUGGGUUUAAAGGGUGCGUAGGUGGGCCUGUAAGUCAGUGGUGAAAUCUCCGGGCUUAACCCGGAAACUGCCAUUGAUACUAUAGGUCUUGAAUUUUCUGGAGGUCAGCGGAAUAUGUCAUGUAGCGGUGAAAUGCUUAGAUAUGACAUAGAACACCGAUUGCGAAGGACAGCUGACUACAGGAACAUUGACACUGAGGCACGAAAGCGUGGGGAUCAAACAGG
rnacentral:rRNA from 1 species